rnacentral:rRNA from 1 species
GACCCCUGGAAGACGACCAGGUUGAUAGGUUCGAGGUGGAAGUGCAGCAAUGCAUGCAGCUGACGAAUACUAAUCGGUCGAGGGCUUAUCCUA